rnacentral:misc_RNA from 2 species
AAGUCGUAACAAGGUUUCCGUAGGUGAACCUGCGGAAGGAUCAUUACACUCAGUAGUUUACUACUGUUAAAGAGGCUGUUAGUCUGUAUAGCUUUACCGCUGAUGAGCAGCUGGCCUCUUUUCUCCACCCUUGUCUUUUGCGCACCCAUGUUUCCUCGGCAGGCUUGCCUGCCGGCUGGACAAUACAAUAACCUUUUUAAUUUUCAAUCAGCGUCUGAAAAAAACUUAAUAAUUACAACUUUCAACAACGGAUCUCUUGGUUCUG